GACAGAGGGUGCAAACGUUGCUCGGAAUCACUGGGCGUAAAGGGCGUGUAGGCGGGACGGUAAGUCGGGCGUGAAAUCCCUAGGCUCAACCUAGGAACUGCACUCGAAACUACCAUUCUUGAGUGUCGGAGAGGAAAGCGGAAUUCCUGGUGUAGAGGUGAAAUUCGUAGAUAUCCGGAGGAACACCAGUGGCGAAGGCGACACGCUGGGCCGUACCUGACACUGAACCGCGACAGCAUGGGGAGCAAACAGG
rnacentral:rRNA from 1 species